GACGAACGCUGGCGGCGUGCUUAACACAUGCAAGUCGAACGGUAAGGCCCUUCGGGGUACACGAGUGGCGAACGGGUGAGUAACACGUGGGUGAUCUGCCCUGCACUUCGGGAUAAGCCUGGGAAACUGGGUCUAAUACCGGAUAGGACCACUGCCCGCAUGGGUGGUGGUGGAAAGCUUUUGCGGUGUGGGAUGGGCCCGCGGCCUAUCAGCUUGUUGGGGGGGUGAUGGCCUACCAAGGAGACGACGCGUAGCCGGCCUGAGAGGGUGACCGGCCACACUGGGACUGAGAUACGGCCCAGACUCCUACGGGAGGCAGCAGUGGGGAAUAUUGCACAAUGGGCGCAAGCCUGAUGCAGCGACGCCGCGUGAGGGAUGACGGCCUUCGGGUUGUAAACCUCUUUCAGCACCGACGAAGCGCAAGUGACGAUAGGUGCAGAAGAAGGACCGGCCAACUACGUGCCAGCCGCCGCCGUAA
rnacentral:rRNA from 1 species